rnacentral:ncRNA from 2 species
GGGUUCGGAGAUUUAUAAUUCCGAAGGGUUUUAUCAAAGAUGGUCGGGCCGCCAUCU